CGGAACUAGUUUGCUUGAUUUACAAUGUAAACAUAUGUUUCAUCUUGAACCAUGCUUUGAAAAUAUAAAAUUGUAGUGAUAAAAUACAAAAACAAUUUCAAGCAUGUUCAUCUGACAAAAGGUGUUUAACUAACAAUUCCAAACUAUAGUUUCGCUUCUGUAAAAUGGUAUCAACAUUGAGAUAGCUUGACAGUCUAGAGACAGCAGUGGGACGGACGGGACGGUGCAGGUUUAGCCUUAACCCACAAAGGCUUCAACCCAAAUGGCCCCGCUCUGCAUAACAAGUUUUUGCCCUUUAAUUGCUCGGGGGAAUCGACCUUCUUUAGUCAAAGCUUUUUCUUGCUCAAUGCUUUCCUAUCUCGAGUGAUUUACCGUGAUCCACCUAUGAGAUCGUUUGCACCGGCUUUGGAUUCAAGAAGAUCGGCCAUAGAAUAAGGAAUGGGAAGAGAGCGAGAGACUCUCGAUUCGCUGCUCUACAUUUCGAGAAAGUGGAAUAAGAAAGGCCGUAGUACCCUAGGCCCGACAGAAUAAUGAGAAGACUGCUCUACAUUUCCAGAAAGUGGAAUAAGAAAGGCCGUAGUACCCUAGGCCCGACGCAAAGGUUCGAACAGGAUGGCGGUUAUUCUUCCUCGUCUCUUUCGGGCGGGGGACGGGAAUAGCUCUUCUAGCAUCAGCAUGGAUUGACCAGAGACUUGGAUGAAAAGAAUAGGUAUGUUCAACUAGUUAUUUGAACUAUUCAAUAAGAAUAUGGAUUUUCAAUGCUAGAAAUGCCAUAACUCUCUUUCUGAAUAUCUCGACUUUCUUUCUCAAACCACCGGCAGGGGUGCGGAAAUAGCAAAAACUAAUGGUAGAGCAAAAAUUGCUUCUGAUUUGAUUUCGCCUGAAACGAAUUCCUCGCUUUGAUAAGAAAUAUCCGAGUAAACAACCUUUGAGCUGUGCCGUCUUCUGGUCCUCAUGUGGAUGAUUCCCCAUAUGAGAAGUGAAAGGUUGGUUUAUCAAUUCGAAGAUCGCUGCUAUGGGAUUUAGCGGCUCCAGCCGCAUUGACGAUAGUCAUUCAUUGCAACUUAGAUUGCACGAUCAAGAUCAAAGUGUCCGUCCGUUCGGUAAGUCAGCCAGUCGUCAUCUUAUCUUGCACGAGCAUCGUCGUCCCCAUCACUUCCUCAUCCUCAACCUCUAGAGGAGUGGAAG
rnacentral:lncRNA from 1 species